UCAUCUCUUUAGUAGAGUUGGAAAUAAAAUUUACAAUGCAACUUAUUUUAAAGAUAUACUUGAUAUAAAAUCAUAUAAAAUGUGACUAAAAUUUCAUUGGAUUCAAACUAACAACAAGUCGAGGUAAUUUUACGACUUAUCUUACUUUUCGGUAAUGUAAACAAAGCGGAUGUUUCGAAAAGAAUGAAAUGCGGAGAAAACGAGGAUUUUCGUCAACCAAAUCUAUUCAGCGGCACAGCAAGGCUUCGUUGACUCAAGAAAGGCGAUGGUGAGCUGCGUCUGACUGAAAAUUACUGUGCAAAGAUUAAACCCAUCAUUCGAAUCACAAACGCAUGACAACUCUAGCCUAGCAAAAACGAUCUGCCCAGGUAUCCCUAAUAUUGUGGACAUUGAACAUGAAGUUGAGAUGGAACAGGAUCUGGAACCCUUAAUAUCUGCUAUCUGGAAACUUGGAAGGAGGGUUAUGGAACUGGGGGUGAUAUGACAGAUGCUCUAAAAUGUCCAUGCCAUUUCAGCAGCUCUUUCAUGCUGUGGAUAUCCUAACUUAUGGAUCAUCAGCUACCAUUAAGAGAGCGGGAACAUCAUGAUCAUAUAAGCAAUGAGACGAGAAAAGUUUUCAACUUUUUCCACAAAGAACAAUCAAUAAACAGGCAGACAAAAUUCCAGGUCUAAAAAUAAAUGGAAUGAAGGUGUACAAUAACAAGUGAACAUAGAAGUUUCUCUU